UCCAGACUCCUACGGGAGGCAGCAGUGGGGGAUAUUGCACAAUGGGGGGAACCCUGAUGCAGCGACGCCGCGUGGGUGAAGAAGCGCCUCGGCGCGUAAAGCCCUGUCAGCAGGGAAGAAAAUGACGGUACCUGAAGAAGAAGCCCCGGCUAACUACGUGCCAGCAGCCGCGGUAAUACGUAGGGGGCAAGCGUUAUCCGGAUUCACUGGGUGUAAAGGGAGCGUAGACGGCCAUGCAAGCCUGGAGUGAAAGCCCGGGGCCCAACCCCGGGACUGCUCUGGGAACUGUGCGGCUGGAGUGCGGGAGGGGCAGGCGGAAUUCCUGGUGUAGCGGUGAAAUGCGUAGAUAUCAGGAGGAACACCGGCGGCGAAGGCGGCCUGCUGGACCGCGACUGACGUUGAGGCUCGAAAGCGUGGGGAGCAAACAGGAUUAGAUACCCCCGUA
rnacentral:rRNA from 1 species